rnacentral:rRNA from 1 species
UUCUCCCUACGGGGCGCAGCAGUGGGGAAUAUUGCACAAUGGGGGGAAACCCUGAUGCAGCAACGCCGCGUGAGUGAAGAAGUAUUUCGGUAUGUAAAGCUCUAUCAGCAGGGAAGAGAAUGACGGUACCUGACUAAGAAGCCCCGGCUAACUACGUGCCAGCAGCUGCGGUAAUACGUAGGGGGCGAGCGUUAUCCGGAUUUACUGGGUGUAAAGGGAGCGUAGACGGUUCUGCAAGUCUGAAGUGAAAGCCCGUUGCUUAACCGCG